rnacentral:rRNA from 1 species
UCGAGGAUCAUUUGCAAUGGGCGAAAGCCUGACAAUGCGACGCUGCGUGGAGGAUGAAGGCCUUCGGGUUGUAAACUCCUGUCAUAAGGGAACAGGCGACGGUACCCAAUACGUACCUGAGUUGAGUGUACUUUAAGAGGAAGCGACGGCUAACUCUGUGCCAGCAGCCGCGGUAAUACAGAGGUCGCAAGCGUUGUUCGGAUUUACUGGGCGUAAAGGGCGCGUAGGCGGUCUUGCGUGUCAGAUGUGAAAUCUCCGGGCUCAACCCGGAAAGUGCGUCUGAAACUACAGGACUCGAGUCUGGGAGAGGGAAUCGGAAUAUAGGGUGUAGCGGUGAAAUGCGUUGAUAUCCUAUAGAACACCGGAGGCGAAGGCGGAUU